rnacentral:rRNA from 1 species
GAGCUUGCUCCACCGGAAAAAGAAGAGUGGCGAACGGGUGAGUAACACGUGGGUAACCUGCCCAUCAGAAGGGGAUAACACUUGGAAACAGGUGCUAAUACCGUAUAACAAUCGAAACCGCAUGGUUUUGAUUUGAAAGGCGCUUUCGGGUGUCGCUGAUGGAUGGACCCGCGGUGCAUUAGCUAGUUGGUGAGGUAACGGCUCACCAAGGCUACGAUGCAUAGCCGACCUGAGAGGGUGAUCGGCCACAUUGGGACUGAGACACGGCCCAAACUCCUACGGGAGGCAGCAGUAGGGAAUCUUCGGCAAUGGACGAAAGUCUGACCGAGCAACGCCGCGUGAGUGAAGAAGGUUUUCGGAUCGUAAAACUCUGUUGUUAGAGAAGAACAAGGAUGAGAGUAACUGUUCAUCCCUUGACGGUAUCUAACCAGAAAGCCACGGCUAACUACGUGCCAGCAGCCGCGGUAAUACGUAGGUGGCAAGCGUUGUCCGGAUUUAUUGGGCGUAAAGCGAGCGCAGGCGGUUUCUUAAGUCUGAUGUGAAAGCCCCCGGCUCAACCGGGGAGGGUCAUUGGAAACUGGGAGACUUGAGUGCAGAAGAGGAGAGUGGAAUUCCAUGUGUAGCGGUGAAAUGCGUAGAUAUAUGGAGGAACACCAGUGGCGAAGGCGGCUCUCUGGUCUGUAACUGACGCUGAGGCUCGAAAGCGUGGGGAGCAAACAGGAUUAGAUACCCUGGUAGUCCACGCCGUAAACGAUGAGUGCUAAGUGUUGGAGGGUUUCCGCCCUUCAGUGCUGCAGCUAACGCAUUAAGCACUCCGCCUGGGGAGUACGACCGCAAGGUUGAAACUCAAAGGAAUUGACGGGGGCCCGCACAAGCGGUGGAGCAUGUGGUUUAAUUCGAAGCAACGCGAAGAACCUUACCAGGUCUUGACAUCCUUUGACCACUCUAGAGAUAGAGCUUCCCCUUCGGGGGCAAAGUGACAGGUGGUGCAUGGUUGUCGUCAGCUCGUGUCGUGAGAUGUUGGGGUUAAGUCCCGCAACGAGCGCAACCCUUAUUGUUAGUUGCCAUCAUUCAGUUGGGCACUCUAGCAAGACUGCCGGUGACAAACCGGAGGAAGGUGGGGAUGACGUCAAAUCAUCAUGCCCCUUAUGACCUGGGCUACACACGUGCUACAAUGGGAAGUACAACGAGUCGCGAAGUCGCGAGGCUAAGCUAAUCUCUUAAAGCUUCUCUCAGUUCGGAUUGUAGGCUGCAACUCGCCUACAUGAAGCCGGAAUCGCUAGUAAUCGCGGAUCAGCACGCCGCGGUGAAUACGUUCCCGGGCCUUGUACACACCGCCCGUCACACCACGAGAGUUUGUAACACCCGAAGUCGGUGAGGUAACCUUUGAGCCAGCC